GCCGAAAUAGCUCAGUUGGGAGAGCGUUAGACUGAAGAUCUAAAGGUCUCUGGUUCGACUCAGGUCUGCAGCA
rnacentral:tRNA from 1 species